GCGGAGGGGGCGGUGUAGGGACCCGAGGAGGGAAGAGGACUCCAAGCGCCAUGGCCGCUGCUGCCCGGGCCCGGGUCGCGUACUUGCUGAGGCAACUGCAACGCGCAGCGUGCCAGUGCCCAACUCAUUCUCAUACUUACUCCCAAGCCCCUGGACUUUCACCUUCUGGGAAAACAACAGAUUAUGCCUUUGAGAUGGCUGUUUCAAAUAUUAGAUAUGGAGCAGGAGUUACAAAGGAAGUGGGAAUGGACCUAAAAAACAUGGGUGCUAAAAAUGUGUGCUUGAUGACAGACAAGAACCUCUCCAAGCUCCCUCCUGUGCAAGUAGCUAUGGAUUCCCUAGUGAAGAAUGGCAUCCCCUUUACGGUUUAUGAUAAUGUGAGAGUGGAACCAACGGAUGCAAGCUUCAUGGAAGCUAUUGAGUUUGCCCAAAAGGGAGCUUUUGAUGCCUAUGUUGCUGUCGGUGGUGGCUCUACCAUGGACACCUGUAAGGCUGCUAAUCUGUAUGCAUCCAGCCCUCAUUCUGAUUUCCUAGAUUAUGUCAGUGCCCCCAUUGGCAAGGGAAAGCCUGUGUCUGUGCCUCUUAAGCCUCUGAUUGCAGUGCCAACUACCUCAGGAACCGGGAGUGAAACUACUGGGGUUGCCAUUUUUGACUAUGAACACUUGAAAGUAAAAAUUGGCAUCACUUCGAGAGCCAUCAAACCCACACUGGGACUGAUUGAUCCUCUGCACACCCUCCACAUGCCUGCCCGAGUGGUCGCCAACAGUGGCUUUGAUGUGCUUUGCCAUGCCCUGGAGUCAUACACUACCCUGCCCUACCACCUGCGGAGCCCCUGCCCUUCAAAUCCCAUCACACGGCCUGCGUACCAGGGCAGCAACCCAAUCAGCGACAUUUGGGCUAUCCACGCGCUGCGGAUUGUGGCUAAGUAUCUGAAGAGGGCUGUCAGAAAUCCCGAUGAUCUUGAAGCAAGGUCUCAUAUGCACUUGGCAAGUGCUUUUGCUGGCAUCGGCUUUGGAAAUGCUGGUGUUCAUCUGUGCCAUGGAAUGUCUUACCCAAUUUCAGGUUUAGUGAAGACGUAUAAAGCAAAGGAUUACAAUGUGGAUCACCCACUGGUGCCCCAUGGCCUUUCUGUGGUGCUCACGUCCCCAGCGGUGUUCACUUUCACGGCCCAGAUGUUUCCAGAGCGACACCUGGAGACGGCAGAAAUACUGGUUAGGGCAAGAAGCGAAAGGCUGAAAAGAAAACUUCAUUAUGCUCUCCUAGCCCAGCCGUUGGAGAGAUUCUUUCCAGGGAGGUAGGAAGGACCGCAGACAUCCUCCUGCAGGAGCUCCCGCUGAGUCCCAGGAGCCGACACCCACACUGCCAGGAUCCAAGAUGCAGGGCUGGUGUUGGCAGACGCGCUCCGGAAAUUCUUAUUCGAUCUGGAUGUUGAUGAUGGCCUAGCAGCUGUUGGUUACUCCAAAGCUGAUAUCCCCGCACUAGUGAAAGGAACGCUGCCCCAGGAAAGGGUCACCAAGCUUGCACCCCGUCCCCAGUCAGAAGAGGAUCUGGCUGCUCUGUUUGAAGCUUCAAUGAAACUGUAUUAAUUGUCAUUUUAACUGAAAGAAUUACCGCUGGCCAUUGUAGUGCUGAGAGCAAGAGCUGAUCUAGCUGGGGCUUUGUCUUUUCAUCUUUGCGCAUAACUUACCUGUUACCAGUAUAGGUGGGAUAUACAUUUAUCUUGCAGGAAAUUCCCCAAAGCUCAGAGUCCAGUUCCUUCCAUAAAACAGGCUGGACAAAUGACCACUAUGUUAGACCCCCAGGCUCGACUUCAGGGGUCAGUGUUCCUGUCCCAAACCCCACACAGAAUACUCUGCCUCUGCUUCAUGUAGCAAAUGAGCAAAAACUCAGUAUCUAUCAAAAGUGUAAAUUAUAUUUCCUAUGCCUAGUAAUUCACUUCAUGUCUAAAAAUUUAUCUGAUAGAAACACUAGCACCAGUACAUACAGAAGCAUGGCAAGGAUGUUUCUGGCAGCACUUUUCUAAUAAUAAAAGAUUUGAAACAA